rnacentral:misc_RNA from 1 species
AUGGUGACGUCGGUGCCGUAAAGAUCGUUGUCGAUGGUCGAGGCGAUGCCGACCACCGGAAAGCCCAGGCCAUGCAGCGCGGCGGAGCCCGUCUGGGAGCCGUUGCCUCCGAUCACCACCAGGGCAUCGAUGCCGCGCGUCGCCAGAUUGCGCAGCGCUUUCGACCGGCCGCUUUCCUCGCGAAAGUCCUUCGACCGCGCACUGCCGAGAAACGUCCCGACAUCCCGCGCGCUGAGCCGGGUCAUGCGAUCGUCGAUCAAGCCCUGCCAGCCCUCACGCAC